rnacentral:lncRNA from 1 species
GGGGAUGAACAGUCUUACCUUUCAAUCCCCUCUGUCACUCUGCAAAACGCGAGGUGGUGCCCACACUUCCCUGGGAGGAAGAAGACGACCCAGAUAGAAGGUAUCAGCCUCUAGACUAGAACAAAAAGAAAAUAAAAACGGAGUUAUUACAGGCAUUCAAUUCGACGAAGGGCAUGCAUAAAUUCUUCAAACCCCUAUCAAAUCUAAAAUACAGGGGUAAACCCAGAGACCAAGACCUAGGGUUCCUCGCAGGCCUUAAAAAAAAAAUUGACAGGGGUAGACGCAGAAACCGGACCUCCCACCACCUUCUUUUGGCAGCGCUCAUGAGGAUUCCAGAGGGGAGAUGGCCGCAGAGUACAGAAGAAAGUGCAGGAGCUGGUGGCGAUGACGGAGAAAUUAAAUCAAACUACAAGCGGAGGCUGGCAGGAGACGGUGGGGGCUGCAAUGAAGUCAAAUAGGGAAGAGGGGGAGCAUUUAAUUGUUUAUGCGGGCGGCAGCUCGCGGCAUUAAUUGUUAAGGCAGGGUGAAUAAAUUAAGCCAGCAGGAGGCCGUUCGGGUUCCCCGGCGCCGGAGGCUGUAGAGGUGGAGCAGCCGGUCCCACCUCGCCGGCACCGGCAACGACAGCAUCAACAACCGUAGCGUGACGUUAUCGCCGCCGCUGGCACAUGAGCUAGGGUUCUUAGGGCUUCUUUGCCGGGGAGGAGGUAUGCAGAGGAGUUGAAGAUCUUUUCGAUUUCAAUCCUUUGCGUGAACCUAAACCGGAAGCGGAGCUCGAGCAGGAAGCCGAUCGAUCGGUCGAUCGAUCAUUCCGCGGACGAGCCAGGGAACGCGGAAGCGGAUGAGCUCUAAAACCUCGGUUAGAUCACGGGAAGCAAAACGAGGAAGAACCGACCAGUUGUUGAUGAUUUCUCGGCCACCAAAACAUCCAAAUCGUACCAGACUCGACGCCAAGGUUGGCCGCAGAUUACUUGAUCAAAAACCUCGCGAGCAGAAUCAGAUUUCCGAGCCAUCGUCAAUCCCGUUUGUCCGUACCGAAUGAUCUCCGGAGCGAUCGUUCCCGAACUUCAGGAAGCGAGCACCUCGAGAUGAAUUUUCAGGGAAUUCCCGGACAGUAGACCAAGAGGGGAAGUAGGUAGAGUAGGCUUCUCGAUUACACCUCUCCACUUCCUAGCACUCUACUCCCUCAUUCCCGGCCGCUGGGGUCUGUCUCUCAAUCCCGAGCUCCAGAGCUCUGCACACGUUUCGCAGAGCGAAGACUCACAGAUCGCACAAGGAAGAAUCCAUGGCAUUGCUGCGAGCUUCGCCUUCUCCAGCGCUCCGGGAACUCCGAGAGCCGAAAUCAAAGAAGAAGAGCAGAGGAAACCUAGCGUUCGCUACCAGAAUCCCAUCAACCCUACCGUUCAACCUCCAUCGACAGGCACGCAACGACAAGAACAACAGCAACAUCAACCGAAAAACAUCCAUCGAGUUCAGUGAAACCAGGAACGGACGAAGAUGCCGUCGAAUUCUGAAUCGAAAAGGAUGAUGAAUUGGCAACUCACGGCUGUUCUUCCACCUUCCCGGCGGGAAAUCGGACGUCCCCCGCGCAGUACGAGCUCGCCCCCGGCUUCGUGCCGCGGAGAGGACCCAGUCCCCACCAGACGGAUCAUUAUAAAUUGCCAACUCUCAAUUACAAAAUUAAAACCAUCAAUUUCAUGUUGGUUCUCCUGCCGGCUGCAUGAGGUUUGAUCUUCAUGUUCUCACGCCACUCUCUCUC